AGGUAUGGACAAGGUUCUGACCCUUAUUAUUGGAGCUCAAAUCCAGAUGGAGUUUGCUGGGACUUCACAUCAUUGGAAGGUGAAUAGAAAAGUAUGUCUUAAGAAUUUCACCAUGUUUUGGAAGAAUUGCAGCAAGAAAAAAAGAACUCCUUUGUUUCCACCUCAUUUCUUUUAAGGAAAACCUGGAAUAUCUGAGGGUGCAAGCUGAGAAAGGUCUGCUUAUCUAUUCCCUACUCUGGCAAUCAAAAAGGAUCCAAGUCUACUGUUCUCUUCUCCUGGCACUCUUAACUUGCACACAUUGCAACCUUUUAUGGCAAAGUAAUGGUCAAGCUAUCCUAACAAGGACGAGCCAUUAUUAAAUAAUUCACUGUGGUUGGGAAAUGGUGAGGGAGCCAUCUUCUUUUGUCUUCUUUUCUCUGAAAAUAAAAUUUUGUCUAAUUUUGUAUUAAGGAUAUUUGGGCUUCACUUUAUUACAUUCUCUACUUUCUUUAAUAGCUUGAAGCUCAUGAUAGUACAUGUCUGGUCUUGCAAAACAAGAUGAAUUUGUUAAACUAAACUUUUAAAAAAA
rnacentral:lncRNA from 1 species